AUACAUAGGGGGCAAGCGUUAUCCGGAAUUAUUGGGCGUAAAGCGUGCGUAGGCGGUUUAUUAAGUCUGCUGUUAAAUCCCACAGCUCAACUGUGGGCUGCCAUUGGAAACUGGUAGACUUGCGUGCGGACGAGGUAAGUGGAAUUCAAAGUGGAGAGGUGGAAUGAGUAGAUAUUUGGAGGAACACCAGUGGCGAAUGUGUCUUACUGAGCCGUUACUGACGCUGAGGCACGAAAGCGUGGGGAGCAAACAGGAUUAGAUACCCUGGUAGUCCACGCCGUAAACUAUGAGCACUAAGUGUCGGAUGAAUUUUCGGCGCUGCAGUUAACACAAUAAGUGCUCCGCCUGGGGAGUACGGUCGCAAGACUGAAACUCAAAGGAAUUGACGGGG
rnacentral:rRNA from 1 species